CCUACGGGAGGCAGCAGUGAGGAAUAUUGGUCAAUGGGCGAGAGCCUGAACCAGCCAAGUCGCGUGAGGGAGUACUGCCCUAUGGGUUGUAAACCUCUUUUGUCGGGGAGCAAAAGCCGGACGUGUCCGGCUGUGAGAGUACCCGAAGAAAAAGCAUCGGCUAACUCCGUGCCAGCAGCCGCGGUGAUACGGAGGGGGCGAGCGUUAUCCGUAUUUAUUGGGGUUAAAGGGUGCGCAGGCGGAUUUUUAAGUCAGCGGUCAAAUCGUGGGGCUCAACCCCAUCCAGCCGUUGAAACUGGGGAUCUAGAGUGUGCGAGAGGUAUGCAGAAUGCGUGGUGUAGCGGUGAAAUGCAUAGAGAUCACGCAGAACCCCGAUUGCGAAGGCAGCAUACCGGUGCACAACUGACGCUCAGGCACGAAAGCGUGGGUAUCGAACAGGAUUAGAUACCCCUGUAGUC
rnacentral:rRNA from 1 species